CCGCCCUCUCGUGGGACCCCAUUCAUGGUUUUCUCCAGGACAAUAUUGUUCCACUGAUGUUGGCGUGGGCUGUCUGCUAUCUCGGUGUGGGUUGGCGUCCAGUUUGUGAACAAGAAGAUUUAAUCUAGUGACGAUGAUUGCGUUUAGUGAGAGUUACAACUGCUAUUCGCUGGUUGAUCUGGUUGUCCGACCACUUUCUGAGGGAUGAGAGGGUUAAGUCCAUGGGUAUGACUGCGCUGCUGUUUUGCCUCUGAGAAUACCGUUGUGGGUCGCUCUGACGCCAACUCCGCACAACGGGGCUUCACUGUGUACCGGUAUUUCAGUCGGCAGCUCUGUUUUACGUGAACUCUUCCCUCUGCUGAGUCGUUUAACGUGCCCGCGGCUAGCUGGUUAGCAUCACUAGCCUGUUAUGUGGCUAAAGGUAAGGCUCGCACUCACUGCUUACCUGGUGCUCGUGUUCUUGAUGUCGCUGCACAGGUACCUAGGGUCCUGAGCAGAAAAACCUUAGCUGUGGUUCUUCAUGCCGGCUUGAACAACAGCAGCCUGAGGCAGUCGGAGAUCCUGAAGAGGGACUUCAACACCCUGGUGGGGACGGUUCGCAGGACAGCACCCAUGGUGAGGAUCGCUUUAACGCUUUAAAUCCAAAUUUCAAUAGCCAUUGUCGGAACUCAGAGCCGGUCUCCAAGUCGACACAUCACAGGGUGAUCUCCACACUUAGACUUUUUGGUUACUAAAGACUGUUUUAGUUAAAUUUAACUGUUAACUCUAUAAUUACUGC